rnacentral:lncRNA from 1 species
AUUAAUUAAGAAGCAUAUUUUUAAAGUUCUUCAUGGAGCAUUAUUUAAUUACCUCCUUCCCUCUUUUCUCCAGGCCACAUCCUUCUAGUUUUAUUCAAAGAUUGAUAACUCAGUUUUCUCUGUGGGUCAGACAAGUGACAAAGAAGCGAGAUGGAGGAAGUGUAAGGAUGUGCAGGUGACCAGGACCCUGGUAAACAGCAGGGAGCAUGCCUGGCCAAGAGGCACUCAAAUCCCAAACUGGGCUAUAGGCCACCAGGCUGCAAACCUCCCCCAUGAGUGCUUUUCUCCAUUCUAUAAUUCCUGGUUCUUCAAGCUUUCUAAAUUAGUGUGCGGAGCCCCAAAAGAGAACACCUUCAUUUUGGUGAGCCAGAGGCAUGCCAUUUCCUGUUGCAUCAGUGGUAACUUUGGUCUUAUGACAAGCACUCACUAGCAUGCAGGAUUUGUACCGGCAAAAGGCUGAUCAAUCUCCUAAGUCCUAUGAGAGGCCACAGGAGAAGAUUCCCCUCUUCUUGGAGCAAAGAUCCCAGGAAAACGGUGAUUCACAGACCUCACUCAGCAUUAACUAGGGUGCCAUGGCAACAGGGCUCCACAUCCGGAGCAGAUGGUGCGGCAGACUGCCCCUGUCAUGCGCUGCCUCUUCUGGAAGUUCUGGCCACCUCACCAAGCAGGCUUGUUUCUGUCCAGCUGGCACAGAGUAACACCUGUCACAAGACCCUCGGUGUCUCCAGGCCCAUGGCCAAAGUUUGGAGAAUUACACUCAUACUCGCCCACGUGGACAGCGACAUUCAUUUGCCAAAUGGAAGGUAUUUAGGUUUGGAGUGUUUUCUUCUUCCUUCUCCCUCUUCUUAAGCUUUCACCAGGGAGGUCUUUGGAGGGUGCCAUUCUGUAGUGACAAGCAUCAGUCAUAGGUUGAC